rnacentral:rRNA from 1 species
AUUGAACGCUGGCGGCAGGCCUAACACAUGCAAGUCGAGCGGUUGACGGGAGCUUGCUCCCUGAUUCAGCGGCGGACGGGUGAGUAAUGCCUAGGAAUCUGCCUAUUAGUGGGGGACAACGUUUCGAAAGGAACGCUAAUACCGCAUACGUCCUACGGGAGAAAGCAGGGGACCUUCGGGCCUUGCGCUAAUAGAUGAGCCUAGGUCGGAUUAGCUAGUUGGUGAGGUAAUGGCUCACCAAGGCGCCGAUCCGUAACUGGUCUGAGAGGAUGAUCAGUCACACUGGAACUGAGACACGGUCCGGACUCCUACGGGAGGCAGCAGUGGGGAAUAUUGGACAAUGGGCGAAAGCCUGAUCCAGCCAUGCCGCGUGUGUGAAGAAGGUCUUCGGAUUGUAAAGCACUUUAAGUUGGGAGGAAGGGUUGUAGAUUAAUACUCUGCAAUUUUGACGUUACCGACAGAAUAAGCACCGGCUAACUCUGUGCCAGCCGCCGCAGUAAGAC